rnacentral:rRNA from 1 species
UACGUAGGGGCCUAGCGUUGUCCGGAUUUAUUGGGCGUAAAGAGCGUGUAGGCGGUUUGGUAGGUCCGCUGUGAAAACUCGAGGCUCAACCUCGAGACGCCGGUGGAAACCAUCAGACUAGAGUCCGGAAGAGGAGAGUGGAAUUCCUGGUGUAGCGGUGAAAUGCGCAGAUAUCAGGAAGAACACCUAUGGCGAAGGCAGCUCUCUGGGACGGUACUGACGCUGAGACGCGAAAGCGUGGGGAGCGAACAGG